ACGAGGGGGGCAAGCGUUGUUCGGAAUUAUUGGGCGUAAAGGGUGCGUAGGCGGUUUGGCAAGUCUUAUGUGAAAUCUUCGGGCUCAACCCGAAGCCUGCAUGAGAAACUGCCGGGCUUGAGUAUGGGAGAGGUGAGUGGAAUUUCCGGUGUAGCGGUGAAAUGCGUAGAUAUCGGAAGGAACACCUGUGGCGAAAGCGGCUCACUGGACCAUAACUGACGCUGAUGCACGAAAGCUAGGGGAGCAAACAGGAUUAGAUACCCUGGUAGUCCUAGCCCUAAACGAUGAUUGCUUGGUGUGGCAGGUACCCAAUCCUGCCGUGCCGAAGCUAACGCGAUAAGCAAUCCGCCUGGGGAGUACGGUCGCAAGGCUG
rnacentral:rRNA from 1 species